rnacentral:rRNA from 1 species
GAGUUUGAUCAUGGCUCAGGAUGAACGCUAGCGGCAGGCCUAAUACAUGCAAGUCGAGGGGUAACAUGAGAGCUUGCUCUUGAUGACGACCGGCGCACGGGUGCGUAACGCGUAUGCAACCUACCCACAACUGGAGCAUAGCCCGGAGAAAUCCGGAUUAAUACUCCAUAAUGCAGGGGUACCUCCUGGUACUAUUUGCUAAAGAUUUAUCGGUUGUGGAUGGGCAUGCGUCUGAUUAGUUUGUUGGUGAGGUAACGGCUCACCAAGACCACGAUCAGUAGGGGGUCUGAGAGGAUGAUCCCCCACACUGGCACUGAGAUACGGGCCAGACUCCUACGGGAGGCAGCAGUAGGGAAUAUUGGGCAAUGGGCGAAAGCCUGACCCAGCCAUGCCGCGUGAAGGAUGAAGGCCUUCUGGGUUGUAAACUUCUUUUAUAUAGGAAGAAAAAGGUCAUGCGUGACCAAUUGACGGUACUAUAUGAAUAAGCACCGGCUAACUCCGUGCCAGCAGCCGCGGUAAUACGGAGGGUGCAAGCGUUGUCCGGAUUUAUUGGGUUUAAAGGGUGCGUAGGCGGUCCGUUAAGUCAGUGGCGAAAUCUCGCAGCUCAACUGCGAAACUGCCAUUGAUACUGGCGGACUUGAGUACGGACGAGGUAGGCGGAAUUUAUGGUGUAGCGGUGAAAUGCAUAGAUACCAUAAAGAACACC